rnacentral:rRNA from 1 species
UACGAAGGGUGCGAGCGUUGUUCGGAAUUAUUGGGCGUAAAGGGUUCGUAGGUGGGAAGAUAAGUCAAGUGUGAAAUCCCUAAGCUCAACUUAGGACGUGCAUUUGAAACUAUUUUUCUUGAGUAUUGGAGAGGGUCGUGGAAUUGCUGGUGUAGGAGUGAAAUCCGUAGAUAUCAGCAGGAAUACCAGAGGCGAAGGCGGCGACCUGGCCAAAUACUGACACUGAGGAACGAAAGCGUGGGGAGCAAACAGG